GUGGCUGUAGCUCAGUUUGGUAGAGCACUGGAUUGUGGCUCCGGUGGUCGUGGGUUCGAGUCCCAUCAGUCACCCCA
rnacentral:tRNA from 1 species